AAAGUGAGCCAUUUACUUCAAAAAUAAUGAGAGUCAACACAUGCAUGCGCCAAGCAGCAAUACCAAGGACUGAGGAUCAGUCAGGACAUGUAAUCGUUCCCCCACACAAUUAAGAUCCUCUUUAAGUUGCGUUAAUGGUGGGAUUUCAGAAGUGCUCAGUGCUGGCCUAACUCUGCUCCUGUAAAGCCCAGCCUAAGUGUGUAAGAAACAGAAUAGGUUAAAGAGCCUUUGUCAGAUGAUCCUUAGCUAUUUGCUGUGUGACCUCUAAAUGCAGUAUUUGUGGGCACUCCUUUGCACUACCAUCACCACAAUGCAACCUCAGGGUUAGUCAGGAUUACGGCAUAUCACACAGACAAAAAAAAAAGUACAAUUUAGCUACAUAUAUAUAUUUUUACUUUUAGUUAAUUGGCAAUAUUAUAUCCACACUUAGUGUCCAGGAGAGGGGAAAGCACAGAUUACAAUAUCAUUAAAAUAAUAUUUUACAGAUCUCUCUCUAUAAUAUAUAUAAUUAAGGGAGUGUAUGACAAGGUUCUAACUUGUGUGUCCAAUAAAGUAGCCUAAUGGACAUGAUGCAGCCACCAAAGUUUAAAAAUAUUUAAAGAAACCCUCUCCAACACAUACAACUUUAAGAGAGCAGUACACUCAACAAAUCCAAAACUGCAGCUAUCUGGAUUGGAUCGAGAUAAGAGGCUGUGGGGGGCGGGGGGGGGGGGGGAAGAAAAAGGAACUAUAAGAUAAGAACAUUAGCCCAAUCCUGAAUGCUAAAAAGCAAACAAUAAAACAAAGAAGUCUUCUCAUCACAAUAAAAACUAUUUCUUUGAGUUAAAUUCAAUUAAAAUUACGAGCCUUACAGCCAAAAAUAAAAAGAGUCUGAACCACUCUCUGGAAGAACUGAAAACCAGGUCAGGACUACACUACAAAGUGACACCAGCAUAGCUAUGCUGGGAGGAGUGUGCAAAAAAAAUAUGACACCCCUUAGCUGGCAUAGCUAUGCCGGCAAAGUCCCCAGUUUAAAUGCAACUGUCAGCAUAGUUCAUGUCCUUUGGGGACAUGGAGUUACUAUGUGGGUGGAACUCCUUUUUCUGCUGGCAUACGCGGCAUCUAGACUCUAUACUAAUGGGCUAUGCCCAGCAUAGGCUCUGUAGUGUAGACAUGGCCUUAGUUCAGGAAUUUGGUCAGCUGCAGGAAUCCACAAAGGUUAAAGAUUUUAGUGUGGCAGGAAUGGCCUCAAAGGGAAAGGAGGAUUGUAGGGGGUGACUGUGCAAGAGGGAUUGUCAUGGUGAGAGCUAAGUAGUCUGCAAGAUCCCAUCUGUCCUGGCCUUACAGCCAAUCUAAGCAUCAUGCCUCAGUGCAUGGGUAGCCAUGCUGAUGACAUCUGGACAGAAUGGAUGGGGCCAAGACUGAUCAACAGCCGCCACAUACUAGCCUUGCUAGGCAAUGGUGCAGAUGGGGGCGAGGACAGGAACGGCCUUCAUGUGGCUGGGGAGGGAUAAUGCACAUCUGAGGGGACAUGAGGGAGAUUGUCUUAGUGGGGACAGUAAACAGAGGGAUGAAGGAGCAGCAGAGGCGGGUUGGUAAAGCCGGCAAUUUCACGUACCUUGGCUGUUGCUUUAAAAAUCAUUGUCCAAGUAAAAACAAAACCAGAAGGUAAAUGUGGUGUGGAAAGCUAGACCUAUUCGGUGGCUGCAAGGACAUGGCAACAUGUGAUAACUCCACUUUUCAUGCCCUGCCAGCUGG